rnacentral:rRNA from 1 species
GAGCGAACGCUGGCGGCAGGCUUAACACAUGCAAGUCGAGCGGGCACUUCGGUGUCAGCGGCAGACGGGUGAGUAACACGUGGGAACGUACCCUUUGGUUCGGAAUAACGCUGGGAAACUAGCGCUAAUACCGGAUACGCCCUUUUGGGGAAAGGCUUGCUGCCGAAGGAUCGGCCCGCGUCUGAUUAGCUAGUUGGUGGGGUAAUGGCCUACCAAGGCGACGAUCAGUAGCUGGUCUGAGAGGAUGAUCAGCCACACUGGGACUGAGACACGGCCCAGACUCCUACGGGAAGCAGCAGUGGGGAAUAUUGGACAAUGGGCGCAAGCCUGAUCCAGCCAUGCCGCGUGAGUGAUGAAGGCCUUAGGGUUGUAAAGCUCUUUUGUCCGGGACGAUAAUGACGGUACCGGAAGAAUAAGCCCCGGCUAACUUCGUG